CCAUCAUUUAAAGAAAGCGUAAUAGCUCACUGGUCGAGUCGGCCUGCGCGGAAGAUGUAACGGGGCUAAACCAUGCACCGAAGCUGCGGCAGCGACGCUUAUGCGUUGUUGGGUAGGGGAGCGUUCUGUAAGCCUGCGAAGGUGGCCUGUGAGGGCUGCUGGAGGUAUCAGAAGUGCGAAUGCUGACAUAAGUAACGAUAAAGCGGGUGAAAAGCCCGCUCGCCGGAAGACCAAGGGUUCCUGUCCAACGUUAAUCGGGGCAGGGUGAGUCGACCCCUAAGGCGAGGCCGAAAGGCGUAGUCGAUGGGAAACAGGUUAAUAUUCCUGUACUUGGUGUUACUGCGAAGGGGGGACGGAGAAGGCUAUGUUAGCCGGGCGACGGUUGUCCCGGUUUAAGCAUGUAGGCGGAGGUUCCAGGUAAAUCCGGUACCUUUUAACGCUGAGGUGUGAUGACGAGGCACUACGGUGCUGAAGUAACAAAUGCCCUGCUUCCAGGAAAAGCCUCUAAGCAUCAGGUAACAUCAAAUCGUACCC
rnacentral:rRNA from 1 species